ACUCUUGCCCUGUUGCCCAGGCUGGAAUGCAAUGGCGUGAUCUCAGCUCACUGCAACUUCCGCUUCCUGGAUUCAAGUGAUUCUCAUGCCUCAGCCUCCCGAAUAGCUGGGAUUACAGGCACUGCGCUCAGGGCGGGGAUUUGGGACUCACCAGGGCAUGAGGCGACGUGCCUCUGUCCUCACGGAGCCUAAGUGCUGGUGGAGACGGACAGUGCAGAUGCCAACCGCAGAUGACGAAGCACUUGCAGUCAGGAAGACUGUCACCAUGGUGGCAUGCAAAUGACAGAGACGUGUGGGACAGCGUCUGCCAAGAGACGAGCCAGAAGUGACAGGCUCAUGGCCAGAGACGACACAACAGAGAAAAUGAAUCAAGAUGAAAACAAGAAUAAGAAUCAUUCCCCUUCCUGGCCGGGCGCAGUAGCUCACUUUGGGAGACCAAGAGAAUUCAUGGCUGGGACCAGCUAGUCCUUGGCUCCACCUUCUUGGGAGCAGAUUAAAUACGACUUCAAGCCAGUGAGGUGAUUUGAGUCCCAGCAGCCUCAUCUGCCAAGUCAGCCCCAGCACUGCAUUGAGAAAGGGUCUUGCUCUGUUGCCUCGGCUGUAGUUUUGAACUUGGAUGUGAAGAAAUUCUCCUGCGUGGCUGCUCCUGUGCUGCAUUGGGUCUGAGCAUUUGCUCGAUGUCUAUUUUUGUCCUGCAUUCUCUUCCUGAGACCCAUCCACACUGACAUGGUUCAUUUUCAUUGCUGCGUGAUCGCCCGUGGUUGCUCUAUCUAACCAUCCAUCCAUCCACCUAUCCAUCCAUCUAACCAUCCCUCCAUCCAACCAUCCAUCCACCCAUCCGUCCAUCCUUCCAUUUGGCCAUCCAUCAAUCCAUUCGUCCACCCAUCCAUCCAUCCAUCCAGGUAAGCCGUACACCAAAAUAACAUUGCUCAUCUUUAGUUGAUUGUGUCAGUGGUGACGUUAAAAUUUUUUCUUCAAGUUUUACUUUAUAUUUGAACCUCUAAGAUA